GGCUCUGGUCACUUCGCCACCGUGGCAGGCUGCGGGGCGCAGGCAUGGCGGGGAGAGGCGGGGGCGGCCGGGCGGCACACUGAAUCGACCCGCCGCCCCUGGAGCAGCGCACCCGCCGGGCCCCGAAAGCCCCGACCGGACUGAGCAGCCGCUCGGCCGCGCGGGGUCCCGUCGAUCGCCCCGGCUCUGCCGCCGCCUCCCGCGUUCGCUCCGGCCGGGAAAUCAGGGGACCGCAGCCGCCGCCAAGGACCAGGCUCGAGGCUACGCGAGGGGCGCCGCAACUUCGCCGCCAGCGGGGGCCGCCGCGGUGGAUUUGGCUGGAAGCAGGGGGAUGAGGAACACACAGAAGAGGACCUGGCAUCUGUCAUCCCAUCAACAGUCCUCAGUGAUUCUCCCAUGAACUGCAUGUGGGAAUGUGAGCCCCGGGCCUGGCCUUCCCUGCCAGGUGAUGAUAGUGGAGCACGCUGGGAUGAAGGAGUCAAUGGAGCACAGCCCGGAGCAGCGUUAGGGCCUCCGCGUGUGAGCUGAACAUGCCUGGACACAGCUGGAAUGUGGACAUCUGGGGCUGCCACUGCUGCUGGGGAGAAGAGCUGGGUGCUGCGGAGAGAAGUGGGCAACCCCACAGUGUGCUAUUUUGUACGUUUUGACCUUGGUGUGCUCAAUAUAUCAAAAAUUUUAUCAUUU